CCGCCCCGCCCCGCCCGCGCCCGUAAAUGCCGGCGGAUCCGCGCCCGCUCCGCUUUGUGCGGUGGAUGCUCAUCCUGCUCAUCCCGGGCUGCGGCGGGACCGUCGUUCGGAGCGCUGUGCGGAGCCCGGCACCGGGGGCUGCUCCCGGCGCUGCGCCGAGCCCGAGGCGCUGAGAGCACAGGACAUCCUGAGUGGGAAUGGAUACACAAGGACCGCUAAGUCGAACCCUUAUGUGAAUGGCUCCUCUGGCGAUUGAACCCACACCUGGCCAUUCUCAGCACCCUGCUCCAACUAAGCCAAUCUCAGCUCCUGGCAAUGUCCUGCCUGGGAUAGGAAUGCCAAGUGCCAGCAAGGUUCAUUCCUAUGCAAAUACAGCUCCUUCUUUUAUGCUAAUGCUGCUUUCCACACCAGCCCCUGCAAUGGCCACAGGGCAGACCUCCAUGGCCAGCACCUGAUCAUGGAACAACACAGCUGAGCAGUUGUGUGACAGCACUGAACUCUUCCCAUAACCCUGAUUUCCUGCCCUUUCUAGGAUUUACCCAACAGCUGUAAAGGUGCUCAUUCCAUGGCCCUUUCCAGGGAGAAAUGAGCAAGGUAAGUCCUGAGGGUUCACUUGGUCUACGGCCAAAGCUCUUCUGGAGAGUGUCAGGGUUGCUCCUGCCUGCAGAGGGGCCUUUCCCACAGGUGCCCUGGGGAUGCCAGGGAGGUGCCUUUGCCCACAGUGCCUUUCUCCUGCCCCUCUCCAGCCCGAGGCCUCUUCUCCCUUCCCUGCCAGCUGCUGCCAAGGAAGGAGGACACAUUCCCCACUGAGAAGAACACAACCUCACAGCUGUUAAGGCCUGACAGUUCCCUGCAGGGAGAGCUCAGCACAUGUCCACAGAGGCAAUCCCAGCAUCUGCAAGAAAGAAAGAAGCAGCAAAAGACUGCCUCUGCCGUGGGGUUUUCUCCAGGAGAAGCCAAGGAAUUGCUCAUGGAAGGGUGCAGAUUACAUUAUCCCAAAGGGAAGCAAAGAAUAAGUACUCCAGGAAGAGCCCUUGGCAUCUGCUGGGCUGAGGUGGGAAGGGGACAUUCAUUCCCUGCAGGGCCAAUACACAACAACCUCCAACCCAAAGCACUGACUGGCAGGUGGGGUCUGACAGCACCACUCUGACAAACCUCCUUGUCAUUCUUCCCUGCAGUGACUUUUGCAAUCGAACUCUGAAGCUGACAAGCCCAGAAGCUCUGUCCAUCCACUCUGGAACGAAAGGAUACUCCCAGGGAUGAGGCACAUUCCCAGCAAACGCUCCCAACACAGCCUGGAGGCAGCGCUGGAGCUCGGGUGUGGGGCUGGGAAGGGCUGCCAGGAGCACGCAGCCCCCAGGUGGGGUGGCAGCGGCAGCAGCAAAUUCCCACAGGCUGAUGGCACAGCAGUGCCCACGGGAGGUGCAGGGUUAAUUCUGCUCCCUGCCCUGCCCCAUCCCCGCAGGAAAUCUCCAAGGGGGAGAGAAACUCUCAGGGUGCCCAAAAUGCAGCAUCUGUCACCCUGAUCCUGCUUCAACUCAGCGUGGGGGGCCAAACUCCUCCCACAGGUAAACACUGAGCUGACCUGGUCAGUCUCAAACACAGCCCCAGUUCUCACCUCCAGCCUGCUCCUGGGGCUGCUGCCACAUUCCUGACAAGGAGCCCCUGUGGACAGGGCUCUCUCUGUGUCUCAGGUGCUGGGCACUGCAGGGACCACGGCAGCCCCCUCUGGGGACAAUUGGGGAUUCAUCCCACACCACAGGCAGGACCAGGGGCCCUCCAGUACAGGCUGGUGGGGCCAGAGCCCAUUGGGUUUGGCUGCUCAAACACCAAAGCUUUUGGCAAAGAUGGGACAAGUUAAGUGGGUUUUCCUGUCCUGAGAGAGAGAAGAAAUUGUUGAAAUUAAGCAUGGAAAUUAAGUCCACUGUGGAAGUCAAAGGCUCCUGGCUUUCCCACUCCUGUUCUGAUUGCUCACUAGAGGGUUUUAUCCAUUAAAAAAAUGAGGUGGCACCAAAUAAAAGAGCUCUUUUUCAACA